GGGGCUGUAGCUCAAUGGGAGAGCACUUGCCUGGCACGUGUGAAGCACUGGGUUCAAUCCUCAGCACCA
rnacentral:tRNA from 1 species